rnacentral:misc_RNA from 1 species
AACCAUAGAAACCUGCGGAGUACCUGCGGAGGGAUCAUUACCGAGUGCGGGUCCUCGUGGCCCAACCUCCCACCCGUGACUAUUGUACCUUGUUGCUUCGGCGGGCCCGUGCCCGCCGGAGACCCCAACAUGAACCCUGUUCUGAAAGCUUGCAGUCUGAGUGUGAUUCUUUGCAAUCAGUUAAAACUUUUAACAACGGAUCU